rnacentral:lncRNA from 1 species
GUUCUGUCUUCUGGUCUCAGUUUCUGGUAGAGAGUACUUAGUCGACUAACUUAUUUCUUGGUCGACUAAGUUGGUUUUGUUUCUCAAUAUUCUUCAGCCUGCCAUUUCUCCAAUUUGAAUUUUAGCCAACCAAUACUCUUCAUUAUUCAACUAAGGACCUUCUUUUUUGUUGAUUAAUCAUUUUUCCUCAUUCAUGUGAUUUUUUAUAUACACUUUUGACGGAUUGAUUUAUUAUUUGCAUACAAUUUUUGUCAUGUACACUUAA